AAAUAUGAAUUUAGUAUUGUUAGUAUCUUUUACAUAUUCAUAUAUAUAAUCAUAUAUCGGAUUUCAAAAAUUAAUCAUAUCCAAAAAUCUGAUUCAAAAUAAAUUUUACUUAACUCAUCAGUCUUUAGCUAUGACUACUCUUAUAUCCUGUAGUUGAGUCAGAAUACUACACUUAUACUUUAUGAUGGGGUUGGAAUAUCACACUUAUACUCU
rnacentral:lncRNA from 1 species